UAAGGGAAAGCAAAUUAAUUGCAUUUAAUUGUUAAUUAAAAGUAAGUUUUAAACUCUCUUAG
rnacentral:tRNA from 1 species